AAUAGUUUAGGGAUAAAUUGAAGAGAAAAUAAUCAGUUACAUGUAUAGAGAAAACAAGAAUAAGGGUGAAACCAAUCAAAGCAUGUGGUAGAGGCCAGGGUUGGGAAUAGGGGAGAUAAACAGACAUUGUAUAGACACCAUAUCAACCAGGGAACAAUCACAGAAGUAGAGUCAUUGAGCCAGAUUUAUUGUACGGAUUGGACCUUUUACAAUUGUGGAAGCUAACUCAUGUAUGUAAGACUGUUGCUUCUGUGUUUCUUGCUAGAGCCUGAAAUACCCACAGGGAAGGCAGUUGGGAAGAAAGCCAAACAUGAUGUAGGAAAAGCAAGGACAAAGGGGAAAUCUCUGAGAACGGAUUGGAAUCGACACUAGCCUCUCACCACCUCCAGUCCUCUGGCUUUGAUGAGGUGGGGGUGGCCUGUAGGAGAAACUGAUGUUCUUCAUCUCAGAGCUGAGCACACACCUGGCCUGGGAUUUAGAGGAGCUGAAGGUGGGAAUGUGGCACAAACUUAAGAAGCUAAACUUCAGCUUCUGUCCCACAGCAAAAAGAUUAAUCACGCAAUUUUGGCAGAAAAUGAACGACUAGUAUGCUUGCUGCAACACAGGACUUGAAUGUAGCAAGUACAUGAACUAGUUUCAGUUAAGUUUUAGGCUCUAGAAAAUGCAUUUGAAUCUGAGGAGAAAAAAGUAAGUAUAUAUGUGGCUUUAAAUUCAACCAUUCCUUGGAAGACUUUCUACAAUGCUGGCAGCAUUUAUGAAAUAGUUAUAUUUAUUUCUUUUUGGAAUACAUAUUUUUUCUCUUAUAAACAACUAUAUAUAAUGUAAGGGCAAUCAUAAUUAACCAGAGAAAGCCACAUGAUGCAAUAAACCAUCUGAGCACUCUUUUGGCCUCUGUUAUAAUUUACUGUAUUCAAAGCUUUUGGUGAAUUGUGUGGGUGGUAACAUUAUGAGUUUUUCAAUAUAUCACUAAGUAUAUUUAGAAUGCUUAAUUGAAGCUUAACCUUUAUUUUGUUCAAUACAUGUUGUUUCUAGCUAAUAGUUUUGGGGAAAAGAAUCCCCUAGGUCAAAGUCUUAUAUUUAGCUGCUUCUGUUUUCUUUUAAAGCUAGAAAAAUGAAGGGUGUGAAUGAAUUG
rnacentral:lncRNA from 1 species